UUGAUGGAGACUGUGCUUGGCACUCUUGGGGAAUCGUGGGGCAGCUGCUCCAAGGAGGAGAGCUGCAAAGGGAGGUCUUGGCACCCUCCCUGGCAAGAGGAGCGGGCUGGAGCAACUAUGGAGGGAUCUCCCUGGAAUUGGAUCAUCUGAGAAGCUCUGCUAUAGAAUGCGUCAUCCUGCCCAGCACACAGGAGGCUCUCAGGCUAUGUUUGUUGAAUAAAUGAACAAUGGAAAGUCACAAUUUCUGCUCACCUUCGAACCAGGUGCAGCCUUGGGAUCUGCAUUCCUAAGAAGAGACACUGGACCUCAGGCUCUGACCCCAGAGCAGGAGGGCAGUGGCUGUCCCUGACCCCCUGAUCUCUGAGCUCAGGGGAGGACAGUGAGCCCGUCCAACUUCGUGAGGGCCUUCUGAGAUGUAUCUUUCAUAAAAUCAAUAAUCAGGGAAGAGGAAAAAAGAGCUAGGAUGGAACAAAAGUAAAACGUUUAGCAACUUUGACACAGGGGCUCGGCACCUCUACCUGAGCUGCAGGGGUCCCGGCUGGGGCAGGGCCGGGUGGCCCUCCUCUACUGGCAAUGCAUCUGCUCCCAGAUGCAGGAGAGGGUGAGAGAGACUCGCACCUUUCAGGGCCGAGGCACACACACCUUCUGGUGUCUGAUGCCCAAAGUUUGUGCUGGCAUGGACCAACCUUGGGAGCAUGCAGGAUGAACAGGGGGAUCUGGGCAGGCUGCUGCCUUGUGUCUCAGGUCUUGGAGCCCCAUGGGAGGAUGGUGGGUGUGAGGUGGCCAGCCCCGAUGGCCCUUGCCAUGACAGCUACAUUGGUCCUCAAUUCAAGUGUCUUCAGAAAGUGAAGAUGUAAGCUACUCUUUGCAACAUUAACUCCUAACAAGUCCAAAAAAAAAAAAGUACAAGAAGAAAAGAAAAAGCAUCCCCCCUCCUCCAUCAGCAUAUGUUGAGAUGAAGCCCUCACCUCUCUGCCCCAAAGGGGCUUUCUCUUUCAAGGAUGUGUGUGAAGAAGACGGUAGUCCCCUGGCCUGGGAGUAAACUCUAGAUAAGAACAGUCUUUCACCACACCCCAAGGCUUCCUUGUGCCUCCGAGCCCAGUGGAGGACGAACACUGAGGUUUCUGUGGUGCUGGAUACAGCACAGGGUGGCGUGACCUGAAGACAAGAAAGGGGGAGGAGGGGGUCCUCCUGGAGUCCAGUGCCUGGUGAAGUGUGGGGCAGGCUCCAGACUGGGCAGGGAAAGGCCUCGGAUCCCAGUGUCACAGCAGAGGCCAGACACUCUUCCUUGGUUCAAGGUGAAUAGGUCACAGGAACUGAGACGGGCUUCCCACAUACAACCACUGGGAGGGCAAAGGUAGGGAAGGGUACAGGCCGGAAACAACGAGGUGCCCAAGGUAAGAGGCAGGCCCUCGUCAGCCUCGGAUACUGUCUCCUACUCCCAACCCUUGGGCCCAAUAGAGGAACCAGUUGAAAAGGAAGGCCCGACAUAUUUCCAUCAGCAAGCAACAGGACCACCAACUCCUCCGUGUUGCCCAGCUCCCACUGAGAGUGGACAUACAGUCAUACCCAUACCCAACACGCAUCCCAGUCUGUGCGGAGCAGUCCAUCAUCAUCCUCCCUAGCUUCGGACGACAGCCGACUAAGACCCUUUUGGAGCACCAUCACUUCUCUGUACAGUGGCCCAGGCUCAAACCACCCUGUGCUCUGCAGGUCCUGGAUCUCUAAGGGGUGAGGCCAGAGCUGCGGUCCUUCUGAGGCCCCAGCCUCCCCAGAUGGCGAGGGGAAUGGGCUGCUGGCCACAAGAGUUGGCGAGCGCAUUCCAGACCCUAUAAAAAGACAAACGCCCUGGCUGCCAGAGGCUUAGGCUCCAGCCUCGUGGAGGACGCUGCAGCAACUUGAACCCCAGGAAUGCGACAGGGGCCUGGUGGAGCCUGCUGAUGCCUGAGGGGUGGGAAGCCACCCUGCAGCCCAGGAGGGGCCAAAUGGGCAGCCAUCUUGCAGAGCUUGCCAGGCCCUGCCCUGCCCUGCCCUGCCCUCGAGGAGAGCAGGCACCAUCUACUUAAGAAAAAUCUAAAUUAUCCAGAACUUGGAAAUAAAGCAAAGAAAGGAUGCCAUAUCUUUGUAAUAUCAUGUUGGAGCAUUUUAUAACAGGCCUGGCCAAGGAUUAUCUAAUUAUCCAGGUCAGGGUUUCUCAACCUCAGCCCUAAUGAUAUUUUGGUCUGGAUACUUCUUUGUUGGUGGGAGGGGGCUGUCCUGUGCAUUGCAGGGCCCCUGCCUCUACCCCACUAGAUGCUAGUAGGACACAUCUCCGCCCCUGCCCCUCCCCCUCACAAUUCCAGUUGUUGCCAAAUGUCCUCUGGGGCAGAACUACUUCCCCUCCCCAAUCCCUUGAAAACCACUGACCUAGGAGGGAAUGUAACUUUGUUUAGCUCUCACUAUUCUGUCCUCUAGAGAUGCAAAUGAAUUCUGCCUGAUAGGAAGAUAACCCCAAUGGUUAGAGUUUUAUUGCCCUGUAGGACAUUAACCAGCUUGGUAUCUAACCUAGCAAUCCUAUUCCAUCAUUCUCUCUCCGGUGUCAUAACUUCUGCUGCUCUAAUUCCCUUUAACUCAGCUUCACACGCCUGCUUGUUCUCUUUUGAGUUGAACUAAUCUUUGAUAUGUGUUCCUUGGAUAUUUUACUCACAGUUGUGUUUUCACUUUUUGAACAUCAUACUUUGACAUAGGAUUGCUUUGAGGGUGAAAUGAGAUAAUGUAGCAAAAGCAAUCAGUUUAUCAUGUCUGCCCAACAAUUAGGAAGUCUGAUAAUUGUUUUUGCUUUUCCACAUUGGUCCCCUCAGCCUGGCCUAGGCUGGAAUGGUAACCCUGCCCAAUAAAGGAUGUAGGCCUGCCCACAGAGCCACCUGGGCAUGUGCAGUGAUCUAACCUCUCUGCGCUGUGGUUUACUCCUCUGUACAAAUGAGAAAAAUAAAAGUACC
rnacentral:lncRNA from 10 species